CCUGAAUACAUAGGGUAAGGAGGCGAACCGGGGGAACUGAAACAUCUAAGUACCCCGAGGAAAAGAAAUCAACCGAGAUUCCGAAAGUAGCGGCGAGCGAAAUUGGACUAGCCCUUAAGCUUUACACGCGUUAGACGAACGGUCUGGAAAGUCCGACGAUACAGGGUGAUAGUCCCGUAGUUGACGACGUGUGUUCAGUGAAAUCGAGUAGGGCGGGACACGUGAUAUCCUGUCUGAAUAUGGGGGGACCAUCCUCCAAGGCUAAAUACUACUGACUGA
rnacentral:rRNA from 1 species